AACGCGAUAUCCGCCUUUGAUCUCGUUGGUAUCUGCUCCACUUCGAGAGCUCAGAACUGUCCGUCUUGACUGUUUCACUCCUCCUCUCACUGCAGCCGCCUACUCUCACCUACAUUUCAGGCAAGGCGAAGCGCGUCUCAAACAAGCCUAGUAACCAACUGCAGAACCAUUACGUCACAACAGUCUGAGGCCACAGCGCCAGAUCAGUCUGACGUCGGAAGUGGGCGGAGUAACAGUCUCAUGUCGGAAGUAGGCGGAGUUUACGACAGAAACAAUAAUGGCGGAUAAGAACACGGUGAAAAGGCAUAUUACGAUUCAGAGACGCUCAGCUUUACUUGGAAAAAGUUGUUGCAACAAAUUUCACUGCCCAGUGUUUUUAAAAGGACCAGAUGGCACAGGUUGAAUGCACACCUUCCAAUUCACUUCAGAAAGGCAGAUGUCCAUAGAGUAAAUUGACAAGCAGAAUCAUACCAAUUUCCAAUGGAAGCUGAUUGAAAAAGGGAAAGUAAAAAAAAAAAAUCUUAAAAUAUAUCAACUUCUCUUUUCAUUAUAAUGAAAAACAUGAGGGCUUUUCACACAUGAAAUAGUAAACACUGGGUGAAUGUAAACCCCAGGUAAACUGAAUGCUGGUUUAUCUUGCUUCAUGUUUCACACAGAAUAUAAUUUACCUGGGAUUGACAAAUAAUCCUGGGUUUUCAUACGCUGCUGUUUUACACUAUACAUUACUAAACCCCAAGUAAACAUUCUUAUAUGCACAUUUUCUGCAUCAGUGUCACUGAUUGGACAGACACUGCAUGCGAUAUGAUACAAAAAUGCCCAAGCACUGCACAUCCUCAUAUUACAUACAGCUGACUUUAAUAUCAAGUUUAUCCUGAAGGUACUCUUUUAGAUUAUAAAAGUAAGAAAUAUACAGUCUCUUCUUGACCCUGACUGUUGUGUUUUCUGUAAGCAUUUGACAUUUUUAACAUCCUGUCAAAUGCUGAAUUUAAUUUACUGUUUUUAUACAGUGCUUAUUUUUGCAGUGACUGUCCAAAGCACUUGAAUAUGAGGCAGGCAAUUGGUUGUCUGUCUAUUGAUAAAGGGUUAACAAUGCUAAAGCCGUAGAAACCCUUUUCUGGAGUAGGCUUUCAUUACACCAAGUAAAAGUGGUGCUAACCCCCAUUACAAGUGUGAAAUGUUCUUUACUUGGGGUUAAAAGUGAUGUUUACACUGUACAUAUUUAUUUAUAAAUAAAUACAU
rnacentral:lncRNA from 1 species